rnacentral:rRNA from 1 species
GAUGAACGCUGGCGGCGUGCCUAACACAUGCAAGUCGAGCGAUUUACUUCGGUAAAGAGCGGCGGACGGGUGAGUAACGCGUGGGUAACCUGCCCUGUACACACGGAUAACAUACCGAAAGGUAUGCUAAUACGAGAUAAUAUGCUUUUAUCGCAUGGUAGAAGUAUCAAAGCUUUUGCGGUACAGGAUGGACCCGCGUCUGAUUAGCUAGUUGGUAAGGUAACGGCUUACCAAGGCGACGAUCAGUAGCCGACCUGAGAGGGUGAUCGGCCACAUUGGAACUGAGACACGGUCCAAACUCCUACGGGAGGCAGCAGUGGGGAAUAUUGCACAAUGGGCGAAAGCCUGAUGCAGCAACGCCGCGUGAGCGAUGAAGGCCUUCGGGUCGUAAAGCUCUGUCCUCAAAGAAGAUAAUGACGGUACUUGAGGAGGAAGCCCCGGCUAACUACGUGCCAGCAGCCGCCGCGG